rnacentral:rRNA from 1 species
CCUCAAAUCAGGUAGGAAUACCCGCUGAACUUAAG